GUUAAUUACUAUUUUUUUCCAACAAUUAAGCUUAAUUGUUUGUUCUUUAUUAUUUUAAACUGUUCAGCAAUCAAAAGUUAAAUGAUUUACAAAUUGUGUCAAUUUGAGCAGAUAAAUUGUUGAACAAUCAGAGAUGAUAGUGAGAGCAAAACUAAACGAUUAACGUUUCGAUGGUUGGGAAACACUUGAAGAUUUAAAAUGACCACUGGUCAAAGGUUAAACAACAGGAGAAGAGAAGAAAAAAUCGUGUCAAUGUUAUAAUGAUUACUGUUAUUACGGUUACUGUUGAACAGAAAUGAUGUAAGGUGAUCAACAACAACAACAAGGAUGUAUCACAAUCACACAGAUUAGUUGUAUUGAUGUUCAAUUAUUGUGAUCACGCUGAUCAAUCUAAAUCGUAAUCAUAAUCAUCCGUGUGGAGAGAGACUGAGAAGGAGAUGAAGAUGACCUCAGUAACAGUGUAUUAAAGGUUAAAGGUUAUUGUUAAAAUUUGUGAUCUAGUGAAAGAUAGAUGAUUAUGAUUACGGUUGGUGGUGGUUGGUGUUAGCUAAAGUUACACUUUCGUUGAUUGUGAUUGAUGUGAUAUUAACUUAUAACAACGAACAUAAGAAAACCUAUUAAUUAAAAGGUAAGAGAUUAACCAAAGAGCAAAAUAAUGACCAAUUUUAAUUGUUGAUUACCAUGGAAAUAUCACCUGGAAAUCUGUUAACAAUUAGAAUGUGAUUUAAAAAAAUCAUUCACUAAUUAAAUUGAGACAAUCUAUUAACACUUAUAUUUUAUUCAAUAUUUAUUACUGUUUCUUUUUCACAGAGUUUAGUCCAACAAUUUACCUGAUUGUUAACGAUAAUGUUUUUCCUGUCUACUUGAUAGUUAAACUUAAAUGGUCAACAUUAAACUGGAGAUUAUUGAUCAAAAUUAACGGCAAAGGAAUCAAGUUAAUCUGUAUUAUUAACCAUUUCAAGCGCCAAUAUAUUUAUAACUAAAAAGUCAAAAAUACCCUAGACGAUAAAUUGUUAAAUUGUUAUAUAGUUUUUACCUUAAUUGUAAGGUUAAUUAGUGGGUUUACAAGGAGCUUGUAAAGUGUAAUAACAAUAUCGGGAAAAGGUAACCCAGAAGCAAAAGAAUAGGUAAAUUGUUAUUAAACUGAUACGGAUGAUCGAUGGGAGCAAUAAUUUAUCUGGACAUAACGAUGACGACCGAAGAUGAACCAACCUGAAAGACGAAGAGAGUAAAAGAAAACGGACCAACCUCUUGGUCUCACCUAAA